rnacentral:rRNA from 1 species
CACUCUAGCGGGACUGCCGGCGUCAAGCCGGAGGAAGGUGGGAUGACGUCAAGUCAUCAUGGCCCUUAUGUCCAGGGCUACACACGUCAUACAAUGGUCGGUACAGAGGGUUGCCAAGCCGCGAGGUGGAGCCAAUCCCAGAAAGCCGAUCGUAGUCCGGAUUGUUCUCUGCAACUCGAGAGCCAUGAAGUCGGAAUCGCUAGUAAUCGCGGAUCAGCAUGUCGCGGUGAAUACGUUCCCGGGUCUU